rnacentral:rRNA from 1 species
ACGAACGCUGGCGGCGUGCUUAACACAUGCCAGUCGAACGGAAAGGCCCUGCUUUUGUGGGGUGCUCGAGUGGCGAACGGGUGAGUAACACGUGAGUAACCUGCCCUUGACUUUGGGAUAACUUCAGGAAACUGGGGCUAAUACCGGAUAGGAGCUCCUGCUGCAUGGUGGGGGUUGGAAAGUUUCGGCGGUUGGGGAUGGACUCGCGGCUUAUCAGCUUGUUGGUGGGUAGUGGCUUACCAAGGCUUUGACGGGUAGCCGGCCUGAGAGGGUGACCGGCCACAUUGGGACUGAGAUACGGCCCAGACUCCUACGGGAGGCAGCAGUGGGGAAUAUUGCACAAUGGGCGGAAGCCUGAUGCAGCAACGCCGCGUGCGGGAUGACGGCCUUCGGGUUGUAAACCGCUUUCGCCUGUGACGAAGCGUGAGUGACGGUAAUGGGUAAAGAAGCACCGGCUAACUACGUG